rnacentral:rRNA from 1 species
AGUGAACGCUGGCGGCAGGCCUAACACAUGCAAGUCGAACGGCAGCCCGGGGGCAACCCUGGCUGCGAGCGGCGGACGGGUGAGCAAUUCCUCGGAAUCUGCCUUUCUGUGGUUUAUAACGUAGCGAAACUUACGCUCAUACCCCACACGCCCUACCGGCGAACGUGUGAGACCACAAGUCCUCACGCCGAAACACGAUUCGACGACGGAUUAGCUAGUUGGUGGGGUAAAGGCGCACCAAGGCGACGAUCGGUAGCUGGUCUGAGAGGAUGAUCAGCCACACUGGAACUGAGACACGGCCCAGACUCCUACGGGAGGCAGCAGUGGGGAAUAUUGGACAAUGGGCGCAAGCCUGAUCCAGCCAUGCCGCGUGUGUGAAGAAGGCCUUCGGGUUGUAAAGCACUUUUGUCCGGAAAGAAAAGCCUGAAGUUAAUACCCUCGGGGGAUGACGGUACCCGAAGAAUAAGCACCGGCUAACUUCGUG